GGCAGGGCAGACAGGACUGAGUGGUUCUAGUAACAGCACUGUAAGGCUGUCCUUCUUCCAACCUUGUCCUUUCCAUUCUAUUCCGUUCCGUUUGACUUUCUAUAACCAGCCCAAGCUUAUGGUAGGAGGCCAAAGGAUAUUCUCAUUCCUUUCCCAAAGAUGCAGCUGCCCAAAUCCAGAAGCUACAAAGACCUUACUACCCAGUGAGCAGACUCUGCGGUUGUGAUUAGGUUAAUGACCUUAAAAUGCAGAGAUUAUCCUAAAUUACCCGAACAGGUCCAAUGUAAAGGCUCUAGUGGGGGAUAGAAAGGCAAACACGGAGGCAGGGUACAGGUGAGAAAUAUAAAUGCACUGCUUAGAAUGACUGGCUUAGAAGAUGCGGCAUCAGGCUGAGAGGGAUUGGCUCAGGGCUUGAGCUCCUGGUCUAUGGAGCCACAAAGCAAGAGAUUAAUCUCACACCAUAUAGAAAGCAGGGACCACACUAAGGGCUACAGGUUCCCUGACCUUCUCGCGAACACACACACACCCCACAUGCACAGAGAUGGUGAACCUCCAUCCACAGCUCAGAGACAGGUGACCUCGAGGCACUGGGCAAGGCACGGAAGCUGACUCCUCCAAGUCUGCAGGCAGAGCACGGCCUCAUCUCAGCUGACCUCAGUCCUAGAGAAACCCACUGGGAUCCCUGAGCCCAGAAACACAAGAGAGCAAGCGUGUGUUCUUUUACACCUUCAGCUUGUGGUGACUUGUUGCGGGGCCAACGUGAGAUGUGCGUGUCUGCCCUCUGAGCUCUGGGACAUACCUGGUUCUACCUGAACACCAGACGUGCUUUAAUUGUUUACGCCUCACACACCUCUACCUGGGGUGGAUAUGAUUUGUUAUGCUCAUGUUACACAUGAGGGGAAUGAAGCCUGGUGAGGUUGAGGGCCCUGCUGGCUGAGGAAUGGUUUCUGUUAGUCUAUAGGAAGCGGGCGACUAAGCAUGGCCGGAUUCACCGGAUGCCCAUGCUCAGGAAACAUCACCGGCAUUUCAUAGACGGGAAGGGCGUUCACAUGCAUAUGCAGUGCCCUGUGCGUUUGCUAUGGGUGUAGGUGAGGAUCUGGUGUCCCUCAGUAGCCAGUGAAGGACAAAGUCCAGCUAACAGCAAGCAAAGGUUCCAAUGCACGGGGGGGGGGGGGGGGGGGGGGACGGACGGACGGGACGACACGGGACAUGGCGGUGCCUGCUGCUGCCCCAUCUUUGUUGCCAUGGUAACAGGACUGUAGGAGCUGGUGGCUGAUGGGCACUCAGGAUCUUCCCAACAGGUUCAAGCUCUGUCUCUGCUGCCCCAGACAACUUCCCAGCCUAAAAGAGGUCAGCCUCCUGCAGCAACAUGAGACACCUGACUGACUGGCUGACAGCUCUCUCUACCCUCAAUGGCAGCCAGGAGGAACCUGCAGGACUUAUCCAGCCCCAAAUGUCACCAACAGCAGGCUGAGACACUCCAGUGUGGAGGCUGUAAGCCUCCAUUUCUCAUCUCAGGAACCACCCUGGAGGGAAAAGGAACACCAGCCCUUCCAGCAGGGGGAAGCCACUCAGCAAGCAAGCUCUAUGUGCAGAGGGCCCAAAGCGCGCAGAGAGAGGACAGCGCAAGACGGAGGGAGACAGUGGGCUUGCCCGCCCGCCCGUCCCUCUGCAGCCUAGAGAAGAUGUUUGCUUAACAUUGCAUUGGACCCAAAAAACUGUUUCGCACGUCUCACAUUUAAGAGAGAUGAUAAAAUGCAGCUUUCCCAAUGAUCUGCCUAUAAAUAAUCCAUAGAACUAAGAAAAAAAAUCAUGAAAGCUAUUAACGGAAUCGCUUAGUAUCAUAAGAGAAUCCAGUGUGUACCUCCACCCCACAGAGCAGGCUGUGGAUGGAGUGGGCCUAGGAUCCUGUGCAAGUAUCAAACCAUCCACGUGCUUCCUAGGGAAGCCCACCCCUGCCUGAGAGAUCUGUUGCCCGAUCACAGACCACAGGUGGCACGUGCUUCAGAGACAACCAAGUGUAGAGACUAGAUGCUAAAACCAGAGUCAUCGAAUUAGCUCAGCCUAGGGCCUCACCUUAAUUGUGGCCAACGGCACUAAAAAUACAUGCAACCGCAAGCUGUAACGUGGUACAAGAGAAUUUAAAAACCAACAGCACUGUUUCCAAAAAUACGCUGGCUUUUAAGACUGUACAUUCUGAAAUUUAUGAACUAACUUUAUAAGCCCAAUUUAAAAUAUCCAGUGGUGCCCGCCGCAGCCUCCUGGAAACGUGAAAGGUGCCACUCUCCCAGGGAGCUUCAGACCCUGGCUUUGGAGUGCAGCACAUUUGUAUGCCUAGAUAAGCAACCACACAUGCUCCGCAGCCGCCACCACCACCGCCACCACCCAUGGGCUCCAGAUGAAGAGAAACGUUUGCUCUAGAAUGAUUAAUACGUGGCACAAAAACCAUUUAUCAAAACCCUCACUAUUCAUAAAAAUAUAGCCAGGCAUGCGAUUUUUUUUAAUACCA